rnacentral:rRNA from 1 species
UACGUAGGGUGCGAGCGUUAAUCGGAAUUACUGGGCGUAAAGCGUGCGCAGGCGGAUUGUUAAGCAAGAUGUGAAAUCCCCGGGCUUAACCUGGGAAUGGCAUUUUGAACUGGCAGUCUAGGGUGUGUCAGAGGGGGGUGGAAUUCCACGUGUAGCAGUGAAAUGCGUAGAUAUGUGGAGGAACACCAUGGCGAAGGCAGCCCCUGGGUNAACACUGACGCUCAUGUCGAAACGAACGUCGG